ACACAUGCAAGUCGACGGUAACAGGACUUCGGUCGCUGACGAGUGGCGCACGGGUGAGUAACGCGUGGGUUACCUGCCCAUAAGUGGGGAACAACUUGGAGAAAUCCAAGCUAAUACCGCAUAAUACCUUCGGGUUAAAGAGGGGGAUCUUCGGACCUCUCGCUUAUGGAUGGUCCCGCGUCUGAUUAGCUAGUUGGUAGGGUAAUGGCCUACCAAGGCAAUGAUCAGUAGCUGGUCUGAGAGGAUGAUCAGUCACACUGGAACUGAGACACGGUCCAGACUCCUACGGGAGGCAGCAGUGGGGAAUUUUGCACAAUGGGCGAAAGCCUGAUGCAGCGACGCCGCGUGCGGGAAGAAGGCCUUCGGGUUGUAAACCGCUUUCAACAGGGAAGAAGGAAUGAGAGCUAAUACCUCUCUGCCUUGACGGUACCUGUAGAAGAAGCACCGGCUAAUUUCGUGCCAGCAGCCGCGGUAAUACGAAAGGUGCAAGCGUUGUUCGGAUUUACUGGGCGUAAAGAGAUCGUAGGUGGCUUGUUAAGUCGGAUGUGAAAUCCCGGGGCUCAACCCCGGAACUGCAUCCGAUACUGGCAGGCUUGAGUUUGGGAGGGGUAAGCGGAAUUCCGUGUGUAGCAGUGAAAUGCGUAGAUAUACGGAGGAACACCUGAGCGAAAGCGGCUUACUGGACCAAUACUGACACUGACGAUCGAAAGCGUGGGUAGCAAACACGAUUAGAUACCCCUGGUAGUCCACGCCCUAAACGAUGUCAACUAGCCGUUGCGGGUAUCGACCCCUGCAGUGCGCAGCUACGCGAUAGUGACGGCCUGGGG
rnacentral:rRNA from 1 species